GGUUGGUCAAAGGUAGUGAGUUAUCUCACUUGAUUAUUUAUUCACAGUCAGUUUCAGAUUGAACUCCUUGUUCUACUAUUUUCCCCCCUUCUCACCACUGCACUUGACUAGUCUUAA
rnacentral:Y_RNA from 1 species